UACGACUACAUAUCAGGCAUAUCAAUAAGCGGAGGAAAAGAAACUAACAAGGAUUCCCCUAGUAACGGCGAGUGGAGCGGGAAGAGCUCAAAUUUGAAAUCUUAAAGGGUUUCCCUUUACGAAUUGUAGUUUAAAGAAGUGUUUUCUGUUGGAGUUUCGGUAAAAGUUCUUUGGAAUAGGACAUCAUAGAGGGUGAGAAUCCCGUAUUUGACCGUUACUUUCCAGCUGUGUGAUACACUUUCAAAGAGUCGGAUUGUUUGGGAAUGCAGUCCAAGAUGGGUGGUAAAUUUCAUCUAAAGCUAAAUAUUGGCGAGAGACCGAUAGCGAACAAGUACCGUGAGGGAAAGAUGAAAAGAACUUUGAAAAGAGAGUUAAACAGUACGUGAAAUUGUCAAAAGGGAAGCGUUUGACACCAGUGUUGUUUUUUCCGAAAAUCAAUUAAGAAGGGCUUGAUUUUGUGUUGUAUUGACCUUAUCAGCUUUCUUCACUCUUUUUCGAGUCUUUCUUAAUGCACUUUUCGGUUAACAAGUCAACAUCAAUUUCUUUUGUUGUAAAAGGGUAUUUGGAAGGUGGCUUUCUUUUCGGAGAAAGUGUUUAUAGCCUUAUACCUCUACAAUCGGAGAGAUUGAGGUCUGCAGCGUAGGUCCUUCGGGGCUAGAUACACUUGUGCUAAGUUAUAGCUUUUCAUAGACAACUUGUUGACUAUGUUUAGUCAUGUAGCUUACCCGCUUGUGCUAUUUUACCUACGCUUAGGAUGUUGAUCUACAGAGCGAGAGU
rnacentral:rRNA from 1 species